UACGGGGGGGGCAAGCGUUGUUCGGAAUUACUGGGCGUAAAGGGCUCGUAGGUGGCCAACUAAGUCAGACGUGAAAUCCCUCGGCUUAACCGGGGAACUGCGUCUGAUACUGGAUGGCUUGAGUUUGGGAGAGGGACGCGGAAUUCCAGGUGUAGCGGUGAAAUGCGUAGAGAUCGAGAGGAACACCAGUGGCGAAGGCGAGUUCCUGGACAAGUCCUGACGCUGAGGCACGAAAGCCAGGGGAGCAAACAGG
rnacentral:rRNA from 1 species